GCAGCAACCAGCUGGAAGAUCAGUGCAACACAUAUGCUUCUCCGUUCCAAGGUGAAUCCACUAAUGUGUUAUAUUCUUCAGUAGAACUUAAAAACAUCAAGAACGGUGAAUCUGAUAAUGUGACUUAUUCUUCAAUUGAGCUUAAAAAAGUCAAGAAUGUGAAGAAGAAGAAACCAGAAGAGAGCACUGUUUAUGCUGAUGUGAGGACCACAUCAUCUCAAGAUGAUGAAGUGACCUAUGCUCAAGUACUCCCCAAUAAACGUAAAGCAAAAGGCAAGAAAGGGAGGACAGCUCCAGCAGCCACUGAAGAAACAGUUUAUUCCGAAGUCAAAGCAGAAACCACUCACGGUAACUGAG